AACGAACGCUGGCGGCAGGCUUAACACAUGCAAGUCGAACGGGCGCAGCAAUGCGUCAGUGGCAGACGGGUGAGUAACACGUGGGAACCUUCCUCGGGGUACGGAACAACUCAGGGAAACUUGAGCUAAUACCGUAUACGUCCGUGAGGAGAAAGAUUUAUCGCCCUGAGACGGGCCCGCGUCGGAUUAGCUAGUUGGUGGGGUAACGGCCUACCAAGACGACGAUCCGUAGCUGAUCUUAGAGGAUGAUCAGCCACACUGGGACUGAGACACGGCCCAGACUCCUACGGGAGGCAGCAGUGGGGAAUCUUGGACAAUGGGCGCAAGCCUGAUCCAGCCAUGCCGCGUGAGUGAAGAAGGUCUUCGGAUUGUAAAGCUCUUUUGCCAGGGACGAUAAUGACGGUACCUGGAGAAUAAGCCCCGGCAAACUUCGUGCCAGCAGCCGCCGCUGUAA
rnacentral:rRNA from 1 species